CAGAAAGGGUUACAGGAAAUACAUUGAAAUGAAAGAGCAGUCUGUUAAAUAAUGAAAGCGAAACUGAGAAGCAAUCAGUUCAUAUUUCACAAGCAGCCAGGCAAGACAAGCAGCAAGAGGUAGUUAUGAGACACACCCUUCUCAGAGAUAAGUACAGCAGCCACACAAAGCCUCCUUACUUAAUCAUUAACGAUCGACACUUUGGUAAGUAAAGGAACCUACAAGGAAAUGGGAGGACUAAUUUUAGCAGGAGCUCAGAAGGUAUCAGACACAGUUACUCAAAGAAGCAAGGGACAAGCAUGUCUUCAUAUUGGGGAGAUCAAGUCAAGAGACACAAGAUGAACCUGUUCACCCAGCAAACUGUGAUGCUUUGGCUCUGUGUUGCUCGUACACUCACGACGGCAGAGCUGGUGAAGCUAAGCACUGUUGACUCUGUCAUUGUGCCGUGUCACCAGAGUGUCCGCCUCCAAUGUAACAUCUCCACCUCCCAGGAGGGACUGUUGAUCAAACAUCUGGCCUGGGUCUGCCAGGACGGGAAGCACCUGUGUGAUGUUAACGAAACUGGAGUGACCGGGACCCACCCAGGGAGCACACCUAGUGCCAUGGAGUGUAGUUAUACCCCACAGACACAGCUGACCCUGACUCUGCUGCAGGUACGGCCACUGGAUCAGGGAAAGUACUUGUGCAAGCUGCGCUCCAGUCAUGGAGUAAAGGAGGCCACUACAACGGUGAAGCUGCAAGAGUGCUACAGGGAGGUCCAGCCCAGCAUCAGUGAUGAGGGCCCAACCUGCACCUUCACUGGGGUCUAUCCUGAUGGAGAGGUGCACUGGUUCCAGGGAGCCAACAACGUGACUGGGGACUCUACAAUCAACACUAAACAAGUGGAAGAUGGAGCGUCAUUGACUAUAACUAGUUCCCUGAAAAGAAAGACAGUCUCUGGGGAAGAGGCCUACAACUGCUCCCUGUGGAUCCCCAGUACCGGAUCCUACCUGACCAGCAGCUUAGUGGUACCAGAGCAUGAUAAAGCCAGGGUUGUGCAGCCCAAUGCCAGUGGGUCAGGGUCCAAUGGUCCUUUGUGGAAACCUUUUCUAGUCCUCCUGAGUACUCUCUUCCUGGUGUGACGUCUUGAAAACAAACAUUAACAAAUUGACAAGCAAGUGCCAGGAUCAUUUAAUAAGAAUAUGGAAGAGCCAUUAUGUGAGGUUCCUUUCAUGGUCCAAAGGUUUCCUUGGCUGCGUAGAACAAGGAAAUGAUGAACAGAUGAGAGCGGCUGAUCAACCUAUUGUGAACGCACCCUUGUUGGUCUGCCAGUGCCAGAUAUAAAUGAUUGUUAAUUAAAAACUGCAAACGGCAGUAGAAACAAUAACAAAGCUUACUUCCUGCCAGUUUUGGUAAAAAGCUGAGGGAUGGGGCUGGAGAAAUGUAACCACUCUCAAAUUCAUAGACAGCGCUUUGGAUGCAUGGACUGACCAUCCAUGAUAUCAAAAUAAUAGUUUUAACAAUGUUUUGAGGCUAUAUAGUGUUUUAUUAAAUUGGAGUUGAACAAGCUUCUGAUGGGGUAAGACAGUUGCACUAAGCUCAUGAGGCAUUUCUAAGUUACAUUCUUCAAGAAUGAAUGUGUACAUAUUUAAAAAAAUGAUGUAACAACUACUGAUUGCCCCUUUAAGGGCGUGACCUUUUGUAGAAAAGCCUUCCUGUUUGCGUUAAUCAGAGAGAUCCCCUUACUGGUGGGCGUGCUAUGGGCGGACAGGAGCGGUGGUUUAACUGGGUUGAUUUUUUUUUUUUUUUUAAGUACGAUGGUAAAUGUAGUGUUUGCUGGCGCCCAUAGUCCACCUAGACACAUCCUCCGUGAGUGUUGUAACACCAACGUUUGAUUGAAUGAGAAUUGUGUGAGAAACGUAUUGUUAGUAAUGAUGUUUGUUUGUGAGGUGAUAUUCCUGCUUAGGAUGGAUGUAAAUAAAUGGCUGCAUCCUGAUUAUCCCAUGCU
ensembl:lncRNA